AUGUGUUUUGGCUUGGCUGACUCUUAAUCAGCGGGUCGUAGGUUCGAGCCCUACAUCACCCACCA
rnacentral:tRNA from 1 species